UACGUAGGGUGCAAGCGUUGUCCGGAAUUAUUGGGCGUAAAGAGCUCGUAGGCGGUUUGUCGCGUCUGCUGUGAAAUCCCGAGGCUCAACCUCGGGCCUGCAGUGGGUACGGGCAGACUAGAGUGCGGUAGGGGAGAUUGGAAUUCCUGGUGUAGCGGUGAAAUGCGCAGAUAUCAGGAGGAACACCGGUGGCGAAGGCGGGACUCUGGGCCGAUACUGACGCUGAGGAGCGAAAGCGUGGGGAGCAGACAGG
rnacentral:rRNA from 1 species